GGUGAGUAACGCGUGGGAACGUGCCUUUCACUACGGAAUAGUCCUGGGAAACUGGGUUUAAUACCGUAUACGCCCUUCGGGGGAAAGAAUUUCGGUGAAAGAUCGGCCCGCGUUGGAUUAGGUAGUUGGUGGGGUAAUGGCCUACCAAGCCGACGAUCCAUAGCUGGUUUUAGAGGAUGAUCAGCCACACUGGGACUGAGACACGGCCCAGACUCCUACGGGAGGCAGCAGUGGGGAAUCUUAGACAAUGGGGGAAACCCUGAUCUAGCCAUGCCGCGUGAGUGACGAAGGCCCUAGGGUCGUAAAGCUCUUUCAACGGUGAAGAUAAUGACGGUAGCCGUAGAAGAAACCCCGGCUAACUCCGUGCCAGCAGCCGCGGUAAUACGGAGGGGGUUAGCGUUGUUCGGAAUUACUGGGCGUAAAGCGCGCGUAGGCGGAUUGGAAAGUUGGGGGUGAAAUCCCGGGAGCUCAACCCCGGAACUGCCUCCAAAACUAUCAGUCUAGAGUUCGAGAGAGGUGAGUGGAAUUCCGAGUGUAGAGGUGAAAUUCGUAGAUAUUCGGAGGAACACCAGUGGCGAAGGCGGCUCACUGGCUCGAUACUGACGCUGAGGUGCGAAAGUGUGGGGAGCAAACAGGAUUAGAUACCCUGGUAGUCCACACCGUAAACGAUGAAUGCCAGUCGUCGGGUAGCAUGCUAUUCGGUGACACACCUAACGGAUUAAGCAUUCCGCCUGGGGAGUACGGCCGCAAGGUUAAAACUCAAAGAAAUUGACGGGGGCCCGCACAAGCGGUGGAGCAUGUGAUUUAAUUCGAAGCAACGCGCAGAACCUUACCAACCCUUGACAUCCCUGUCGCGGAUACCGGAGACGGUAUCCUUCAGUUCGGCUGGACAGGUGACAGGUGCUGCAUGGCUGUCGUCAGCUCGUGUCGUGAGAUGUUCGGUUAAGUCCGGCAACGAGCGCAACCCACAUCCCUAGUUGCCAGCAGUUCGGCUGGGCACUCUAUGGAAACUGCCCGUGAUAAGCGGGAGGAAGGUGUGGAUGACCUCAAGUCCUCAUGGCCCUUACGGGUUGAGAUACACACAAUGCUACCAAUGGUGUGCGACCAGUGGGUUAAUCCCCAAAAACCAUCUCAGUUCGGAUU
rnacentral:rRNA from 1 species